rnacentral:rRNA from 1 species
AGAGUUUGAUCCUGGCUCAGGAUGAACGCUGGCGGCGUGCCUAACACAUGCAAGUCGAGCGAAGCACUUUACUUUGAGAUCUUCGGAAGGAUAAGUUUUGUGACUGAGCGGCGGACGGGUGAGUAACGCGUGGGUAACCUGCCUCAUACAGGGGGAUAACAGUUAGAAAUGACUGCUAAUACCGCAUAAGACCCCAGCACCGCAUGGUGCAGAGGUAAAAACUCCGGUGGUAUGAGAUGGACCCGCGUCUGAUUAGCUAGUUGGCAGGGUAACGGCCUACCAAGGCGACGAUCAGUAGCCGACCUGAGAGGGUGACCGGCCACAUUGGGACUGAGACACGGCCCAAACUCCUACGGGAGGCAGCAGUGGGGAAUAUUGCACAAUGGGGGAAACCCUGAUGCAGCGACGCCGCGUGAGCGAUGAAGUAUUUCGGUAUGUAAAGCUCUAUCAGCAGGGAAAGAAACUGACGGUACCUGACUAAGAAGCACCGGCUAAAUACGUGCCAGCAGCCGCGGU